CCCUGCAGAGGAUCCUGAGACAGCCCGUGGAUGUCCCACUGCCUCUGCCCACAGCUACCAUGAAGGUCUCCACCGCUGCCCUUGCUGUCAUCCUCGCCAUGGCCGCCCUCUGCGCUCCGGCAUCAGCCUCCCCAUCUUUAUCACCAGAAAGAACCGCCAGGUGUGUGCCAACCCAGAGAAGAAAUGGGUGCGGGAGUACAUCAACUCCUUGGAGUUGAGCUAGGAUGGAGGAAGCCUUGAGCCUGAACUCGUGCAAACUUUCCUACUGCUUCUUGCUCUUGUCCCAGCCAGCUUGGGAGGCUCUCCCCUGGCCCCAUGCCCUCCCCCCACCUCCUCCUGGGAGGGCACAGACUCCACCACUUACAGCAGCUGCUGUAAAACCUCCCAGGGCUCCUGGGGGUCUCCUGCCUUGUGCCCAGAAGAUCUCUAGGCUCCGAACUUUGGACCCUUGGCACAGCCACGACUCUGCAGUCAGGAAGGACAGUCAGCACCUCUGGAGGUGAAGAGGAGAGGGAGAAGGGGCUCCUACACCCUCCAUGGCCAGAGCACCCACCCUGGCCUCUCACUGGGAAAGGAUGACUGGCAAAUGUGAGAAAUCAGCUUUCCAUUAAAAUCCUCAAUGCAAUUGC
rnacentral:lncRNA from 1 species